ACUGUGAUAUUUGGACAAGGCACCAAGCUGAUUGUGACAAGCUCCAGCCUCCCUCCUCCUGUCCUGACAGUCUUCCCUCCGUCCAGUGCUGAGCUCCAGUCCAGCAAAGCCACUCUGGUCUGUCUGUCCAUUUUGCCCAGUGAGUCUAAGGGUUUUGCAGAUGUGAGCUGGUUGGCUGCUGGGAGUCCAGUGAGCAGUGGGAUCUCUACCAGCACCGCUGUUCAGCAACCAGACAAGACUUUCCAAAUCAGCAGCUAUCUGGCCAUCCAGACGUCAGACUGGAACAUGGAUAAGGUUUACACAUGUAAAGUGUCUUUGGGCUCCCAGACUUCAGAGAAAAACAUUAACAAGUCAGACUGUCCCACUGAAGAAUAGUACAGGAGCAGAAUGACCAUUUCAAACCUGCUUCUUUACUGUUUGUGCUGUUUGCUCAUUACAAGGUUUACAUGUUAGAAAAGAUGUCUGCAUGCUUGUAAUAAAUGUUGUGACAGUUAGGUGGAGGUGUCGUAUCAGCUUUGCAAUUCUUUCAAUAAAAAAUCUCUGAACAAAAACA